rnacentral:rRNA from 1 species
UGGCGAAGGGUGAGUAACACGUGACUAACCUGCCCUCGAGUGGGGGAUAACCUCGGGAAACCGGGGCUAAUACCGCAUAACAUCUUGGGGUGAAAUUCCCAGAGAUCAAGUGCGCAAGCAGCUUGGGGAGGGGGUCGCGGCUGAUUAGCUAGUUGGUGAGGUAAUGGCUCACCAAGGCAAUGAUCAGUAGCCGGCCUGAGAGGGCGCACGGCCACACUGGAACUGAAACACGGUCCAGACUCCUACGGGAGGCAGCAGUGGGGAAUUUUGCGCAAUGGGGGAAACCCUGACGCAGCAACGCCGCGUGGAGGAUGAAGUCCCUUGGGACGUAAACUCCUUUCGAUCGGGACGAUGAUGACGGUACCGGAUGAAGAAGCCCCGGCUAACUUCGUGCCAGCAGCCGCGGUAAUACGAGGGGGGCAAGCGUUGUUCGGAAUUAUUGGGCGUAAAGGGCGCGUAGGCGGUGUCGCAAGUCCGUGGUGAAAUCUCCAG